UUUUUCUCUUUUCUUUAUUUUUCUUUUCCCCUCACCCGGUGCCGACUUCUCCCCCUCCGCGCGCCGACGCGAUUUUUUCCCGAGUCCCUUCCCUCGGCGCCGACCCCUGCCCUAACCACCUUAACCGGCGCCUACUCCUCUUCACCACUUCUUCUUCUUUCCUCCCUCGACAGCCAUUUUCUCGUCACUGCCGAAGCCCUUCUCUGCCGUCGCCCCUUGCCACGCCGAUCCUUUUCUUUCCCCAGCUGACGCCGCACCUUCAAACCACAGCGCCGGCCGUUGUUGCCUGUGCCCUAGCGCCGGCCUUCUGCCCGCGAUGCUGACCCCCUCUGCCGCCGGCGACGAGCCACCUCUCCGACUUCCCUGUGCGCCGGCCGAAGUUUCCCUUCCUUGUGCCUCUGAUCUGAAGCGAUUAUUGCCUUGUUUCUGCGCUGAUCGCCGGCCAGCCGUUCCCCCUCAGCCCUAGCUUGUGCCCUAGCACCGCCGGGUGCCACUCCUCAGCCCUAGCCCAAGCCACCACCGCCGGCCAUAUCUCAUCUUAUUCCCCAUACUGUGCCGUGCCCUAGACUUGGGUUCACAGCUGCUGUCGCAUCUCUGCCCCUCACUGUCGCCGGCCAUCAGGCACAGCCGAGCCGUAGUUGGUUUUGGAGUUGGUGGAUUUCUUAUCUUUGCGUUGCUGUUGUGCCCUAGUUCACCACUGCCGGUGCCAGUCUCUUCUUUACAGCAGAGUGGAACUUGAGGACUUUGACGCGAGACGAUUAUCUCGGAGUCAGAUUUGGACCUUUCUAUUUUCGGAGGCGGGUACUUUUGACUUAUGUCUUUGAUAUGCAUAAUAAAGUGUUUAACAAAUAGAAUUGAUUAUGUUUUCUAUUUGUUUGGUUGGUCACUACAUGAUCUAUUACAUGUUGCUUGUUACUGGUUAUGCACUGCAUGUUGUUAUUUACCUAGUAUUACAUGCUUUUGGUAGUGACCCAACAAAUUGAUACUUAUGUUCAUGACCUAGGGUUUAUUUGAUACCCUAUCUGUUUGUGUACUUUCCCUUUUGGUUCAUUACCCUGUAGUACACAUUUUAUAUUAUGUAUGGAGCAUGCUAUGCUAUUUGUGAUAUUGCCGUAUUUAGGAUCAUGCAUCAUCUUGCAUGAUUGCAUGCUGAGCGUUUGUCUGCUCCAUUAUUGUGAGCACAACGCCAAUUACAUAUAUCUGUACACACCACCACUCAUGGGUUAGUGGUAUAUUAGACAGGUGUGUGGCAGUUCUGUUGUUAGGCUCUGCUAGUCUGGUGACUUAGCGUAGUAGCCGGCAGACAGUUUUGCUCUGUUUUGCUCCGCUGGUUUAUUCAUCCGCGUAGUAGCCGGCAGGCAGUUGGACUCUGUUUUGCUCCGUUGGUCUGCUCAUGGGUAGUGUGACGCAGCGUGGUAGCCGGCAGAGAUUCCUCCCCGUCAUCGUG